UUUCCCUCAGGAUAGCUGGCACUCGCUUGAGCGAGUCUCAUCUGGUAAAGCGAAUGAUUAGAGGCCUUGGGGCCGAAACGACCUCAACCUAUUCUCAAACUUUAAAUGGGUGAGAUCUCUGGCUUGCUUGAACGUUGAAGCCACGAGAUGCAACGCGUUUGCAAUGGAUCAGAGUGCCAAGUGGGCCAAUUUUGGUAAGCAGAACUGGCGCUGUGGGA
rnacentral:rRNA from 1 species